GACAGAGGGUGCAAGCGUUGUUCGGAAUUAUUGGGCGUAAAGGGCGCGUAGGCGGCUGAGCAAGUCGAACGUGAAAUCCCUGGGCUUAACCCAGGAAGUGCAUUUGAUACUGCUCAACUUGAGUCCCGGAGAGGGUGGUGGAAUUCCCAGUGUAGAGGUGAAAUUCGUAGAUAUCGAGAAGAACACCGGUGGCGAAGGCGGCCAUCUGGACGGUGACUGACGCUGAGACGCGAAAGCGUGGGGAGCAAACAGG
rnacentral:rRNA from 1 species